UACGGAAGGCAGCAGUGGGGAAUAUUGCACAAUGGGCGCAAGCCUGAUGCAGCCAUGCCGCGUGUAUGAAGAAGGCCUUCGGGUUGUAAAGUACUUUCAGUCGUGAGGAAGGUGUUAAGGUUAAUAACCUUAGCAAUUGACGUUAGCGACAGAAGAAGCACCGGCUAACUCCGUGCCAGCAGCCGCGGUAAUACGGAGGGUGCGAGCGUUAAUCGGAAUUACUGGGCGUAAAGGGCACGCAGGCGGUUAAUUAAGUUGGAUGUGAAAUCCCCGGGCUUAACCUGGGAAUGGCAUUCAAGACUGGUUAGCUAGAGUCUUGUAGAGGGGGUGAAUUCCAUGUGUAGCGGUGAAAUGCGUAGAGAUGUGGAGGAAUACCGGUGGCGAAGGCGGCCCCUGGGACAAAGACUGACGCUCAUGUGCGAAAGCGUGGGGAGCGAAACAGGAUUAGAUACC
rnacentral:rRNA from 1 species